CGCCCAUUAAAGCGGUACGCGAGCUGGGUUCAGAACGUCGUGAGACAGUUCGGUCCCUAUCCGUCGCGGGCGCAGGAAAUUUGAGAGGAGCUGUCCUUAGUACGAGAGGACCGGGAUGGACGCACCGCUGGUGUACCAGUUGUUCUGCCAAGGGCAUCGCUGGGUAGCUAUGUGCGGACGGGAUAAGUGCUGAAAGCAUCUAAGCAUGAAGCCCCCCUCAAGAUGAGAUUUCCCAUUCCGCAAGGAAGUAAGAUCCCUGAAAGAUGAUCAGGUUGAUAGGGCUGAGGUGGAAGUGUGGCGACACAUGGAGCUGACAGAUACUAAUCGAUCGAGGACUUAACCAAUUU
rnacentral:rRNA from 1 species